AGGGCCCCCCCAGGAGGGGAGCCGGCGGCUUAUUUUGACUCACCACGGGAAAACUCCCCCGGCCCGGACACGGGAAGGAUUGACAAAUGGAGAGCUUUUUCUUGAUUCAGGGGGGGGGGGUGCAGGGCCGUUCUUAGUUGGGGGAGCGAUUUGUCGGGUUAUUUCCGAUAACAAACAAAACUCCUCCCUCCAAAAAAAAUCGUGGGUUUAAAAACCCCAAUGAAACUUUUUAGGGGGACAGGGGGCGUUUCACCCGCACAAAACACAGAAAAAACAGGUCUGUGAUGCCCUUAAAUGUCCGGGGCCGCACGCGCGCUACAUUGAAGGGAUCAGCGUGCAUUCUCACCCAACUCUGCCAAGAGUGGAAAACCCAAGAACCCUUCUUCGGGAUUGGGAAAGGAAAUGGUAAUAAUCUUCUUUGAACAAGAAAUUCCCAGUAAGCGCAAGUCUUAGCUUCCCGUUAAUUACUUCCCGGCCCUUGGUACACCCCCCCGUGCUAACAACUAAUUCAAGGUUUAG
rnacentral:rRNA from 1 species